UUAAUCAUUAUUUAGUCCAUGUUAGUAUAUCAUUAUGAUGGUUUUUGUCAAGUGGUCUACAGCUUUUUCAAUUAAUUCAUAUAUUUUCCAUCUUUAUGUUAAAUGUAUAUGAAUUCAUAGUUCUUUCCCAUCGAACUGUAUUAAAUUAUCUUUACUUACCCAGAAAUUAUUUUCACUAAAAGGUGGUAGCUAGGCUUUUUGUGUGUGUGUGUGUGGCAAUGUAUUACAAAAUUAGUGAGUCAGGGUGUGGUUUGCCCUGGAAAUGCCCCUUCCCUGCCUCAGGCGUUUAUUCGUUCCCAUUUGGUGGCAAUAUGUGAGGCAAUUCUGCUAGGUUCAGUCUUGGUGGAGGAUAUGUCACUGAGGGCUCGUUUGGAGAGCUUCCUCCUACUUCCGAUUCACUCUGCAUAUGAAGAUGUGAGGUUCUAGAGUCCUGCCUCUUCCCCCAUGAGAGCAGCAAAGCCUGCUCAGGCCUCCCUGGCACAAUAGACUCUGGAGCCACAAGGCCAAACAUAUCCUACUCUCUGUAAGCUGUUUAUGGUGCAGGUGCUUAUCACAACGGAAAAGUGACCAUUACACUCAGUAGCAGAGGACAGAGGGUAUCAACAGAUGCUCGUGUUUUCCUUUCAGCCUGUGAAUUUCAAACUAACCACAUUCUAACUCUAAAUUUCAGGUAGCAAAUAUAUUUUCAUACUGAUAUCAGCAAAAGUAGAGCAGUGAACUCUGAUGGGUCUUGGACACUUUUCCUUUACCAUCCCAAAGAUUGAAACACUAAAAUGACAGCCACAAGAAAUGUGUGACAAAGUUGGGUCUUGGGAUUUCUGUUCUUUAUCAGAGGAAAACCUGUCUGCCUGUUCAUCUAGACUUGUAAUGUGGGAAUGGGAGAGGAAGAAACACAGCACGUGUCUCUUACCGGAAAGGGUUGAGUACACCCAGACGUGCCCUCCUCUCUACUUUCCAGGUCUCAAUGUCCAAGUCUAGCGUGAGGAGGAUGGAGGUGGGGUGCUGUAGAGACUGCAGACCAGUUUUACGUAAAUGAACUGAAAGCAAUCUCCUAUGACUUCUACAGAAUGAGUUGUUGCCUUAUGGAAACACAGCCACAAAUUUCAGGAGCCACACCAAUGCACGGGCAGCUUUCUUCCAGGGCCAGAGACCAGAAUCUUACUAUGGCGAGGAAAGAUUAGAGAAAACUAUUGGACCUCAAGAUCUGUUCAAAUGCCUUCUGCUUCAAAAUAUAUGCCACGACUUUUCCAAACAGGAGGAGGAACUUCAGUGGGAAACCCUUUGGCUGGUUAAAUAUAAAAUGAAUUUUUACAUCCCAGAUGAUGGACUGCUUCAAGCUAAGUUUGUCAUGUGUCGUCAACCGCAUCAGAAAAGUGGUUACAAACAGCCAAGGACCAGCAGCUACACAACUCCUUCUACAGAAUGCUUUGCUGGUGAGGAUCUCUCUAAGGGUUCUCAUUUUGAACAACACAACAAACACCCUCUUGGUACAAUUAAGCUGUUUAUUCAAUUUUCUUGUAGUAACCUAUAAUGGUCACUAGAGGGAACUCUAACAGAACAAUAAACUGUGAAGUUUUUCUUUUUAAACUAAUAAA